UACGUAGGGGGCAAGCGUUGUCCGGAUUUAUUGGGCGUAAAGAGCGUGUAGGCGGCUUUACAGGUCCGUUGUGAAAACUCGAGGCUCAACCUCGAGACGCCGGUGGAAACCGUAAGGCUAUAGUCCGGAAGAGGAGAGUGGAAUUCCUGGUGUAGCGGUGAAAUGCGCAGAUAUCAGGAGGAACACCCGUGGCGAAAGCGGCUCUCUGGGACGGUACUGACGCUGAGACGCGAAAGCGUGGGGAGCAAACAGG
rnacentral:rRNA from 1 species